rnacentral:rRNA from 1 species
GACGAACGCUGGCGGCGUGCUUGACACAUGCAAGUCGAACGGAAAGGCCCUGCUUUUGUGGGGUGCUCGAGUGGCGAACGGGUGAGUAACACGUGAGUAACCUGCCCUUGACUUUGGGAUAACUUCAGGAAACUGGGGCUAAUACCGGAUAGGAGCUCCUGCUGCAUGGUGGGGGUUGGAAAGUUUCGGCGGUUGGGGAUGGACUCGCGGCUUAUCAGCUUGUUGGUGGGGUAGUGGCUUACCAAGGCUUUGACGGGUAGCCGGCCUGAGAGGGUGACCGGCCACAUUGGGACUGAGAUACGGCCCAGACUCCUACGGGAGGCAGCAGUGGGGAAUAUUGCACAAUGGGCGGAAGCCUGAUGCAGCAACGCCGCGUGCGGGAUGACGGCCUUCGGGUUGCAAACCGCUUUCGCCUGUGACGAAGCGUGAGUGACGGUAAUGGGUAAAGAAGCACCGGCUAACUACGUGCCAGCAGCCGCGGUGAUACGUAGGGUGCGAGCGUUGUCCGGAUUUAUUGGGCGUAAAGGGCUCGUAGGUGGUUGAUCGCGUCGGAAGUGUAAUCUUGGGGCUUAACCCUGAGCGUGCUUUCGAUACGGGUUGACUUGAGGAAGGUAGGGGAGAAUGGAAUUCCUGGUGGAGCGGUGGAAUGCGCAGAUAUCAGGAGGAACACCAGUGGCGAAGGCGGUUCUCUGGGCCUUUCCUGACGCUGAGGAGCGAAAGCGUGGGGAGCGAACAGGCUUAGAUACCCUGGUAGUCCGCGCUGUAAACGGUGGGUACUAGGUGUGGGGUCCAUUCCACGGGUUCCGUGCCGUAGCUAACGCUUUAAGUACCCCGCCUGGGGAGUACGGCCGCAAGGCUAAAACUCAAAGGAAUUGACGGGGCCCCGCACAAGCGGCGGAGCAUGCGGAUUAAUUCGAUGCAACGCGUAGAACCUUACCUGGGUUUGACAUGGAUCGGGAGUGCUCAGAGAUGGGUGUGCCUCUUUUGGGGUCGGUUCACAGGUGGUGCAUGGCUGUCGUCAGCUCGUGUCGUGAGAUGUUGGGUUAAGUCCCGCAACGAGCGCAACCCUUGUUCACUGUUGCCAGCACGUUAUGGUGGGGACUCAGUGGAGACCGCCGGGGUCAACUCGGAGGAAGGUGGGGAUGACGUCGAGUCAUCAUGCCCCUUAUGUCCAGGGCUUCACGCAUGCUACAAUGGCUGGUACAGAGAGUGGCGAGCCUGUGAGGGUGAGCGAAUCUCGGAAAGCCGGUCUCAGUUCGGAUUGGGGUCUGCAACUCGACCUCAUGAAGUCGGAGUCGCUAGUAAUCGCAGAUCAGCAACGCUGCGGUGAAUACGUUCCCGGGGCU